rnacentral:rRNA from 1 species
CCUGGUGUAGCGGUGAAAUGCGCAGAUAUCAGGAGGAACACCGGUGGCGAAGGCGGAUCUCUGGGCCGAUACUGACGCUGAGGAGCGAAAGCGUGGGGAGCGAACAGGAUUAGAUACCCUGGUAGUCCACGCCGUAAACGUUGGGAACUAGGUGCGGGCCACAUUCCACGUUGUCCGUGCCGCAGCUAACGCAUUAAGUGCCCCGCCUGGGGAGUACGGCCGCAAGGCUAAAACUCAAAGGAAUUGACGGGGGCCCGCACAAGCGGCGGAGCAUGUGGCUUAAUUCGACGCAACGCGAAGAACCUUACCAAGGCUUGACAUACACCGGAAAGCAUCAGAGAUGGUGCCCCCCUUGUGGUCGGUGUACAGGUGGUGCAUGGCCGUCGUCAGCUCGUGUCGUGAGAUGUUGGGUUAAGUCCCGCAACGAGCGCAACCCUUGUCCCGUGUUGCCAGCAAGCCCUUCGGGGUGUUGGGGACUCACGGGAGACCGCCGGGGUCAACUCGGAGGAAGGUGGGGACGACGUCAAGUCAUCAUGCCCCUUAUGUCU